rnacentral:rRNA from 1 species
GACGAACGCUGGCGGCGUGCCUAAUACAUGCAAGUAGAACGCACAGUUUAUACCGUAGCUUGCUACACCAUAAACUGUGAGUUGCGAACGGGUGAGUAACGCGUAGGUAACCUGCCUGGUAGCGGGGGAUAACUAUUGGAAACGAUAGCUAAUACCGCAUAAUAUUAAUUAUUGCAUGAUAAUUGAUUGAAAGAUGCAAUUGCAUCACUACCAGAUGGACCUGCGUUGUAUUAGCUAGUAGGUGAGGUAACGGCUCACCUAGGCGACGAUACAUAGCCGACCUGAGAGGGUGAUCGGCCACACUGGGACUGAGACACGGCCCAGACUCCUACGGGAGGCAGCAGUAGGGAAUCUUCGGCAAUGGACGAAAGUCUGACCGAGCAACGCCGCGUGAGUGAAGAAGGGUUUCGGAUCGUAAAGCUCUGUUGUAAGAGAAGAACGGGUGUGAGAGUGGAAAGUUCACACUGUGACGGUAGCUUACCAGAAAGAGACGGCUAACUACGUG